UAUAAUUUAAUGUAUGAGGCAUAAAAAUUUUUGAUAUUUUUAGAGAAAGUUUAAUUCUUUCAAUUAUAA
rnacentral:tRNA from 1 species